CGGGGGGCAGCAGUGGGGAAUCUUGCGCAAUGGACGAAAGUCUGACGCAGCCACGCCGCGUGAGUGAAGAAGGCCUUCGGGUUGUAAAGCUCUGUCGGAAGGGACAAAAACCAUCUAGGUUAAUAGCCUAGGUGCUUGAUGGUACCUUUAAAGGAAGCACCGGCUAACUUCGUGCCAGCAGCCGCGGUAAUACGAAGGGUGCAAGCGUUGCUCGGAAUUAUUGGGCGUAAAGGGUAGGUAGGUGGUUACGUAUGUCUGAGGUGAAAUCCCUGAGCUUAACUCAGGAAGUGCCUUGGAAACGGCGUAACUAGAGUGCUAGAGAGGUUCGUGGAAUUCCCAGUGUAGCGGUGAAAUGCGUAGAGAUUGGGAGGAACACCAGAGGCGAAGGCGGCGAACUGGAUAGCAACUGACACUGAACUACGAAAGCGUGGGUAGCAAACAGGAUUAGAUACCCCCGU
rnacentral:rRNA from 1 species